AGCGAACGCUGGCGGCAGGCCUAACACAUGCAAGUCGAACGAACCUUUCGGGGUUAGUGGCGGACGGGUGAGUAACACGUGGGAACGUGCCUUUAGGUUCGGAAUAACUCAGGGAAACUUGUGCUAAUACCGAAUGUGCCCUUCGGGGGAAAGAUUUAUCGCCUUUAGAGCGGCCCGCGUCUGAUUAGCUAGUUGGUUGAGGUAAUGGCUCACCAAGGCGACGAUCAGUAGCUGGUCUGAGAGGAUGAUCAGCCACAUUGGGACUGAGACACGGCCCAAACUCCUACGGGAGGCAGCAGUGGGGAAUCUUGCGCAAUGGGCGAAAGCAUGAAGCAGCCAUGCCGCGUGAAUGAUGAAGGUCUUAGGAUUGUAAAAUUCUUUCACCGGGGACGAUAAUGACGGUACCCGGAGAAGAAGCCCCGGCUAACUUCGUG
rnacentral:rRNA from 1 species